rnacentral:rRNA from 1 species
AUUGAACGCUGGCGGCAUGCCUUACACAUGCAAGUCGAACGGCAGCACGGGUGCUUGCCCCUGGUGGCGAGUGGCGAACGGGUGAGUAAUACAUCGGAACAUGUCCUGUAGUGGGGGAUAGCCCGGCGAAAGCCGGAUUAAUACCGCAUACGAACUACGGAUGAAAGCGGGGGACCUUCGGGCCUCGCGCUUUCGGGUUGGCCGAUGGCUGAUUAGCUAGUUGGUGGGGUAAAGCCCUACCAAGGCGACGAUCAGUAGCUGGUCUGAGAGGACGACCAGCCACACUGGGACUGAGACACGGCCCAGACUCCUACGGGAGGCAGCAGUGGGGAAUUUUGGACAAUGGGCGAAAGCCUGAUCCAGCAAUGCCGCGUGUGUGAAGAAGGCCUUCGGGUUGUAAAGCACUUUUGUCCGGAAAGAAAUCCUUGGCCCUAAUACGGUCGGGGGAUGACGGUACCGGAAGAAUAAGCACCGGCUAACUACGUG